UACGUAGGGGGCAAGCGUUGUCCGGAUUUAUUGGGCGUAAAGAGCGUGUAGGCGGCCUUACAGGUCAGCUGUGAAAACUCGAGGCUCAACCUCGAGACGUCGGUUGAAACCGUAUGGCUAGAGUCCGGAAGAGGAGAGUGGAAUUCCCGGUGUAGCGGUGAAAUGCGCAGAUAUCGGGAAGAACACCCGUGGCGAAGGCGGCUCUCUGGGACGGUACUGACGCUGAGACGGCGAAAGCGUGGGGAGCGAACAGG
rnacentral:rRNA from 1 species